rnacentral:rRNA from 2 species
ACGGGUGAGUAACGCGUGGGAACGUGCCUUCUGGUCUGGAAUAACCCUGGGAAACUAGGGCUAAUACCGGAUACGCCCUUUUGGGGAAAGGUUUACUGCCGGAAGAUCGGCCCGCGUCUGAUUAGCUAGUUGGUGGGGUAACGGCCUACCAAGGCGACGAUCAGUAGCUGGUCUGAGAGGAUGAUCAGCCACACUGGGACUGAGACACGGCCCAGACUCCUACGGGAGGCAGCAGUGGGGAAUAUUGGACAAUGGGCGCAAGCCUGAUCCAGCCAUGCCGCGUGAGUGAUGAAGGCCUUAGGGUUGUAAAGCUCUUUUAUCCGGGACGAUAAUGACGGUACCGGAGGAAUAAGCCCCGGCUAACUUCGUGCCAGCAGCCGCGGUAAUACGAAGGGGGCUAGCGUUGCUCGGAAUCACUGGGCGUAAAGGGCGCGUA